AUUGAACGCUGGCGGCAUGCCUUACACAUGCAAGUCGAACGGCAGCACGGGAGCAAUCCUGGUGGCGAGUGGCGAACGGGUGAGUAAUGUAUCGGAACGUGCCCAGUCGUGGGGGAUAACGCAGCGAAAGCUGUGCUAAUACCGCAUACGAUCUAUGGAUGAAAGCGGGGGAUCGCAAGACCUCGCGCGAUUGGAGCGGCCGAUAUCAGAUUAGGUAGUUGGUGGGGUAAAGGCCCACCAAGCCGACGAUCUGUAGCUGGUCUGAGAGGACGACCAGCCACACUGGGACUGAGACACGGCCCAGACUCCUACGGGAGGCAGCAGUGGGGAAUUUUGGACAAUGGGCGCAAGCCUGAUCCAGCAAUGCCGCGUGCAGGAUGAAGGCCUUCGGGUUGUAAACUGCUUUUGUACGGAGCGAAACGGCUUCCACUAAUACUGGGGGCUAAUGACGGUACCGUAAGAAUAAGCACCGGCUAACUACGUGCCAGCCGCCGCGGUAACAC
rnacentral:rRNA from 1 species